rnacentral:rRNA from 1 species
AACGAACGCUGGCGGCAUGCCUAACACAUGCAAGUCGAACGAGACCUUCGGGUCUAGGGGCGCACGGGUGCGUAACGCGUGGGAACCUGCCCUUAGGUUCGGAAUAACUCCCCGAAAGGGGUGCUAAUACCGGAUAAUGUCUUCGGACCAAAGAUUUAUCGCCUUUGGAUGGGCCCGCGUUGGAUUAGCUAGUUGGUAGGGUAAAAGCCUACCAAGGCGACGAUCCAUAGCUGGUCUGAGAGGAUGAUCAGCCACACUGGGACUGAGACACGGCCCAGACUCCUACGGGAGGCAGCAGUGGGGAAUAUUGGACAAGGGGCGAAAGUCUGAUCCAGCAAUGCCGGGUGAGUGAUGAAGGCCUUAGGGUUGUAAAGCUCUUUUACCCGGGAUGAUAAUGACAGUACCGGGAGAAUAAGCUCCGGCUAACUCCGUG